UGUGUGUCUGAUAAUCAAAUAAUGAUCUACUUUAAAGAGCUAAGAUGGCUGUAGUUGGCAUUGUAGCUUUUCAGGAGACCGCUCUCCUUCAUAAAAAAGGUUUCACAUCUUUCCAAACUAUUUUUUAGGGUAUGAGGUGGCAAAAGAUGUUAUUUGAGUACUCCAGUGAUGUUUCCAGUACCACAUCAUCAUUCACUUACUGGAAUAGCAGUCUCCUCUUCAAACUCAUGUAAAUACCUUGCAGUCUUGUGUUGUUGUCUCACUGUCAUACCCAUACUGCGUUGAAGUCUAAGAAAAAGCAAUGGAAGGAUAGAGAGAAAAGCACGGAGAGCUUAGAGUGAAGGAUGGCUAGGAGAGUCUCCAUGAAGUCAGGCCCUUUGACUAACAGAUGAGUGCGUUGUGAGUUCAUUUUCUUAAUACUAUUAAUUUUGCAGCUAUGGAGUUAUUCUGUAUUAGCUUGAUGACAUACAUGGAACAAGGAGCACACAGGUAGAAAGAAAGAAAACUACUUUCGUUGAGGGGGAUGUUCAGUAAAAAUAUGCUUGGCCAAUUAUCUGCAUAGGUACCAGAAACUCUAUGGAGAUGGACGUAGGGCAAAAAGUGCAGAGCCCCUUUUGUGGGUUAAGAGCAUUGCUGUUUUCUGUCAGUGUGAGGACAGAUUCUGGGUAAUUUCUGGAGGAAAAGCCACUUCUCUUUUCCUUACAGCUGAAUUCAG
rnacentral:lncRNA from 1 species